rnacentral:rRNA from 1 species
UACGGAGGGUGCAAGCGUUAUCCGGAUUCACUGGGUUUAAAGGGAGCGUAGGUGGGCUGGUAAGUCAGUGGUGAAAUCCCCGAGCUUAACUUGGGAACUGCCAUUGAUACUAUCAGUCUUGAAUAAUGUGGAGGUUAGCGGAAUAUGUCAUGUAGCGGUGAAAUGCUUAGAUAUGACAUAGAAAAACAAUUGAGAAGGCAGCUGGCUACACAAUUAUUGAAAAUGAGGAUAGAAAGAGUGGGGAUAAAAAAGG